CAAGUACUAGUCUCAGCAGAUUGAAGAGAGCACCACAGUGGUCACCAUGCAGUCUGCCGAGGUUGGAGCUGC
rnacentral:pre_miRNA from 2 species